GCGUGUGUGAGAAGGCCUUCGGGUUGUAAAGCACUUUCAGUCGUGAGGAAGGUAGUGUAGUUAAUAGCUGCAUUAUUUGACGUUAGCGACAGAAGAAGCACCGGCUAACUCCGUGCCAGCAGCCGCGGUAAUACGGAGGGUGCGAGCGUUAAUCGGAAUUACUGGGCGUAAAGCGCAUGCAGGUGGUUUGUUAAGUCAGAUGUGAAAGCCCGGGGCUCAACCUCGGAAUUGCAUUUGAAACUGGCAGACUAGAGUACUGUAGAGGGGGGUAGAAUUUCAGGUGUAGCGGUGAAAUGCGUAGAGAUCUGAAGGAAUACCGGUGGCGAAGGCGGCCCCCUGGACAGAUACUGACACUCAGAUGCGAAAGCGUGGGGAGCAAACAGGAUUAGAUACCCUGGUAGUCCACGCCGUAAACGAUGUCUACUUGGAGGUUGUGGCCUUGAGCCGUGGCUUUCGGAGCUAACGCGUUAAGUAGACCGCCUGGGGAGUACGGUCGCAAGAUUAAAACUCAAAUGAAUUGACGGGGGCCCGCACAAGCGGUGGAGCAUGUGGUUUAAUUCGAUGCAACGCGAAGAACCUUACCUACUCUUGACAUCCAGAGAACUUUCCAGAGAUGGAUUGGUGCCUUCGGGAACUCUGAGACAGGUGCUGCAUGGCUGUCGUCAGCUCGUGUUGUGAAAUGUUGGGUUAAGUCCCGCAACGAGCGCAACCCUUAUCCUUGUUUGCCAGCGAGUAAUGUCGGGAACUCCAGGAGACUGCCCGGUGAUAAACCGGAGGAAGGUGGGGACGACGUCAAGUCAUCAUGGGCCCUUACGAGUAGGGCUACACACGUGCUAACAUGGCCGCAUACUAGA
rnacentral:rRNA from 1 species